ensembl:snRNA U6 U6 spliceosomal RNA
AUGCUCUUUUUGGCAGCACAUAUACUAAAAUUGGAACAAUUCAUAGAUUAGCAUGGUCCCUGUGCAAGGAUGAUAUGCAAGUUUAUGAAGUGUUCCAUAUUAAA